UGAGGCACAGAGAGUAACCGCGGAGGUCACCUGCUUAGCCCAGCACCCGGCACUGGAAGAUGCUCAAUGAACAUUCGUCCCUUCAGGGGAGUGUCCAGGCCCAGCAGGGUGUGGCCAGGCCAGCUGAGGCCAAGGCGGGGAGGCCCAAGCCCUCGCCAGGACUGGGGCAAGGGCAGCCUGCAGAGUGGUAGCAGGCAGCCUUCACCACGUGGGUGCCGGCCAGGUGGGUACCAUCGAGGCCAGGGAUGCUUAGCGUGGGCCUGGCGGGCUUGGCGUGCCCAUGGGGUUCAGGAGACCCAGGGUGCCUGAUGGCAGCCAGGGUGGAGCACAGCGGCCUUGGCCACACUCACGACUGACCACGGAGGUGGCAGUUCUGGCUCCUGGGUCUGCACUGGAGCUGUGGCCGGCCCGGUCAGUGCUGGCGGCUGAGGGCACGUGCGGGCGGGCCACUUGGGUUGGCAAGUGGGUACCACGCCCCACGAGGCACCAUCAAAGCCACGGUGUGGUGAGGGCGGCCCAUGCAGCUCCCAGGGGCAGUGGUGGAGCUCCAGGGAGUGUGUUCGCAGCCCUCUUCCCCAUCUCCAGAUCCCGGAGGGUAGAACAGGUGCCUUCCCCGGCUGGAAACUCAAGCCUGCUCCCAACAGCUCUGCUUCCAGGUCACAGCCUGGGCGCCCCAUGACCAGCUUGGAGCGGGCCCCAUCGGAAGGUGUCUUCCCUUCCUGGCAGUGUCACCAUUUAUACAGGAGGCCUCAAGCCCCAGAGAGAGCAAGCAUUGGCCCCGGGUUACACAGGGAGUCAGGGCAGCUGGUCAAGCCCUGAUGAUGAGGUUCCAGACACGAGGAGCAUGCCUGUUCCCCUCGCCGGCCAGCUCCUCCAGGAAGCCUUCCCUGACCACCUGAUCCUCCAGUUCUGCCCUUCACAGUGCCUGCUGUGUUGGCUUAUUCGGCCCCAAAACUUUCCUGCCGCUGGUCCCCAUCCCAGCAGGGGGCACUGAGGAGGCCCUGGAGGGAGGGGUUCAUAACUCGGGGAGCUGCCCGAGGGUGGAAGGUGCUGCCCAGGAGCAGUGAGCACCCUGUCACCGGAGGUGUGCAGGCUGGCGAUCAGAUGGCGUAGUGACCUUUGAGUUUCCUCUGGACUUCAGGGGCUCGGAUCCUGUGAUGGGUUCUGGAUGGCUCCCGGAUCUGGACCUCUGCCCAGAACGUUGGGUCACUUGUUCCUUCCACAACAAGUGGGGAGCCCUCCUGGUGCCAGGCCCUGUGCUGGAGGUGGGUGGAGUCGACAGCCUCUGAACCCCUCCUCC